GCCCAGACUCCUACGGGAGGCAGCAGUGGGGGAUAUUGCACAAUGGGGGGAACCCUGAUGCAGCGACGCCGCGUGAGUGAAGAAGUAAUUCGUUAUGUAAAGCUCUAUCAGCAGGGAAGAAAAUGACGGUACCUGACUAAGAAGCCCCGGCUAACUACGUGCCAGCAGCCGCGGUAAUACGUAGGGGGCAAGCGUUAUCCGGAUUUACUGGGUGUAAAGGGAGCGUAGACGGCGGUGCAAGCCAGAUGUGAAAGCCCGGGGCUCAACCCCGGGACUGCAUUUGGAACUGUGCUGCUAGAGUGUCGGAGAGGCAGGCGGAAUUCCUAGUGUAGCGGCGAAAUGCGUAGAUAUUAGGAGGAACACCAGUGGCGAAGGCGGCCUGCUGGACGAUGACUGACGUUGAGGCUCGAAAGCGUGGGGAGCAAACAGGAUUAGAUACCCUGGUAGC
rnacentral:rRNA from 1 species